AGGGGUGUCGCCAAGCUGGCAAGGCACCGGGUUUUGGUCUCGGCAUUCGGGGGUUCGAAUCCUCCCACCCCUA
rnacentral:tRNA from 1 species